AGAGUUUGAUCAUGGCUCAGGACGAACGCUGGCGGCGUGCUUAACACAUGCAAGUGGUGCGACGAACCAGGGCUUGCCCUGGGGCCAAGCCGCGAACGGGUGAGUAACACGUGAGUAACCUGCCCCGAUGACCGGGACAACCCGAGGAAACUCGGGCUAAUACCGGAUGUGGCGCACAGGCGUAAGCCUGUUCGCUAAAGGAAGCUUCGGCCUCCGCAUUGGGAGGGGCUCGCGGCCCAUUAGCUUGUUGGUGGGGUCAUGGCCUACCAAGGCGACGAUGGGUAGCUGGUCUGAGAGGACGAUCAGCCACACUGGGACUGAGACACGGCCCAGACUCCUACGGGAGGCAGCAGUGGGGAAUCUUGCGCAAUGCGCGAAAGCGUGACGCAGCAACGCCGCGUGGGGGAAGACGGCCUUCGGGUUGUAAACCCCUUUCAGGAGGGACGAAGGUUCACCGGUGAAUAGCCGUGUGGAUUGACGGUACCUCCAGAAGAAGCUCCGGCUAACUACGUGCCAGCAGCCGCGGUAAUACGUAGGGGGCAAGCGUUGUCCGGAAUCAUUGGGCGUAAAGCGCGCGUAGGCGGCCCUGUAAGUCCGCUGUGAAAGUCAAAGGCUCAACCUUUGAAUGCCGGUGGAUACUGCAGGGCUAGAGUCCGGAAGAGGCGAGUGGAAUUCCUGGUGUAGCGGUGGAAUGCGCAGAUAUCAGGAGGAACACCAAUAGCGAAGGCAGCUCGCUGGGACGGUACUGACGCUAAGGCGCGAAAGCGUGGGGAGCGAACAGGAUUAGAUACCCUAGUAGUCC
rnacentral:rRNA from 1 species